GAUGAACGCUAGCGGCAGGCCUAACACAUGCAAGUCGAGGGGUAGAAGGAGCUUGCUCCUUUGAGACCGGCGCACGGGUGCGUAACGCGUAUGCAAUCUACCUUUUACAGAGGGAUAGCCCAGAGAAAUUUGGAUUAAUACCUCAUAGUAUAUAUCAUUCGCAUGUUUGGUAUAUUAAAGUUCCAAAGGUAAAAGAUGAGCAUGCGUCCCAUUAGUUAGUUGGUAAGGUAACGGCUUACCAAGACGAUGAUGGGUAGGGGUCCUGAGAGGGAGCUCCCCCACACUGGUACUGAGACACGGACCAGACUCCUACGGGAGGCAGCAGUGAGGAAUAUUGGUCAAUGGACGCAAGUCUGAACCAGCCAUGCCGCGUGCAGGAAGACGGUCCUAUGGAUUGUAAACUGCUUUUGUACGGGAAGAAACACUCCUACGUGUAGGAGCCUGACGGUACCGUAAGAAUAAGGAUCGGCUAACUCCGUGCCAGCCGCCGCUGUAAAAC
rnacentral:rRNA from 1 species